rnacentral:rRNA from 1 species
GUGGGGAAUCUUAGACAAUGGGCGCAAGCCUGAUCUAGCCAUGCCGCGUGAGCGAUGAAGGCCUUAGGGUUGUAAAGCUCUUUCGUGGGGGAAGAUAAUGACUGUACCCCAAGAAGAAGCCCCGGCUAACUCCGUGCCAGCAGCCGCGGUAAUACGGAGGGGGCUAGCGUUGUUCGGAAUUACUGGGCGUAAAGCGCACGUAGGCGGAAUGGAAAGUCAGGGGUGAAAUCCCGGGGCUCAACCCCGGAACUGCCUUUGAAACUCCCAGUCUUGAGUUCGAGAGAGGUGAGUGGAAUUCCGAGUGUAGAGGUGAAAUUCGUAGAUAUUCGGAGGAACACCAGUGGCGAAGGCGACUUACUGGGCCGUAACUGACGUUGAUGCGCGAAAGCGUGGGGAGCGAACAGGAUUAGAAACCCCAGUAGUCC